rnacentral:rRNA from 1 species
UACAGAGGUCCCAAGCGUUGUUCGGAUUCACUGGGCGUAAAGGGUGCGUAGGUGGUCGGGUCAGUCUGAGGUGAAAUCUCCGAGCUUAACUCGGAAACUGCCUUGGAUACUAUCCGGCUGGAGGGUUGGAGGGGGGACUGGAAUACUUGGUGUAGCAGUGAAAUGCGUAGAUAUCAAGUGGAACACCAGUGGCGAAGGCGAGUCCCUGGACAACUCCUGACACUGAGGCACGAAAGCUAGGGGAGCAAACAGG